rnacentral:sRNA from 1 species
GGUUCCGGUGGGCUCUGAACCCUGAAAGGCUCGCGAUGCCUCUACACAAGUAUCCCGUGUGGCUCUGGAAGCGGCUGCAGCUGCGGGAGGGCAUCUGUUCCCGCCUGCCCGGCCACUACCUGCGCUCCCUGGAGGAGGAGCGGACGCCCGCUCCCGUGCACUAUAGGCCUCAUGGGGCCAAGUUCAAGAUCAACCCCAAGAACGGGCAGCGGGAGCGUGUGGAGGACGUGCCCAUUCCCAUCUACUUUCCCCCCGAAUCCCAGCGGGGGUUGUGGGGCGGCGAGGGCUGGAUCCUGGGCCAAAUAUACGCCAACAACGACAAGGUGGGUCGGCAGGCGGGCUUCAGGGGCUCCUCUCAGGGCUUGGCUGUGCCGGCUCUGUGCCAGACGCCCGGGGUACCUGGAGAGACCUGGGUGGGCCCUGGGGAUUACAGCCUGGAGGAGACACAGCUCCGGCAAAGGAGCACGCUGAGUGAAGAACCGCAGUUCUGGCAAACAGGACUGAUAAAGUAGGGGUGAGGUGGGGUGACUCAGGCCGGGGGAGCAACCAGAGGCCGUGGGGAGUCGGGGUAAAGUUAGGAUGGGGAGGAGGCCUGUGUGAUGAGCAGAGCAGGUGGGGGAGGCGAGCAGAACUUCGAGGCUGCUUGUGGUGGACUUCCUGGCGGGACUGCUGAAGCCUCUGGGGAGACUUGUGUCACCUCCAGGUUGGAAUGUGACAACCUGUAAACUGUGGGGUCGCACAUGUUUCUGAAACACAUGCAGCAACCAUGUGACCAGGGCGGGAACGCCCAGCUUGUUGGGGAGCAGCUGACUUCUGGGUACACAGCCAGGACCCGGGUCGGGCUGGGGCGGCACCGGGCUGGGGGCCGGCCCAGUUAGCUCUAGGUCCCCAGUCUGACAGCAGUGGUUCUGUGAUGGAGCCUCCGGGGGGGAGGUGAGGGCAGUUGCCCUGGGCCCCCCUUGGUCUGUAAGAGAAAGCAGCAGUACUCAUGGAGGCUCUGUUGCACCCUCAGCUCUCCAAGAGGCUGAAGAAAGUGUGGAAGCCACAGCUGUUUGAGCGAGAGCUCUACAGUGAGAUCCUGGACAAGAAGUUCACAGUGACUGUGACCAUGCGGACCCUGGAUCUCAUCGAUGAGGCUUACGGGCUCGACUUUUACAUCCUCAAGGCAAGCGGGGUGGGGCGAGUCCGUGCACAGCGGGGUCUGCGAUGGGCCAGUCAGACUCACGGGAGCCCCAGGUCAGCAUCACACCGGGGCGCGCUGACAUCUGCACAGGAGGGUCACUGGGAAAGCGUGAGUGGGGCCAUGCCCCUUUCUGGCUGGCACCAGUGGGGUUUCCUGCCUUCAGGAGAGGCUGUCGCUCUGUGGGUGGCUGACUUGCCCGUGGGGCCUGACCGAGCACAGCCGCCCCUUUCCCUGCACUUGGACUUGCUUCUGUCCUGAUCCCACCCCCCAGGCUGGGGUGCUGAGGCGGCCCCACCCGGGCCUUCUCUGUCCUGUCCUGGGACCACCAGCGGCUAGAGAGGAGCCAGGUGGGUUGGCUGGAAGGGUAGGCGGGGCCCUGCCACCAGCACCUGGCCCCAUGUGAGCCUUCUGCCAGACCCCGAAGGAGGACCUGUGCUCCAAGUUUGGGAUGGACCUGAAGCGAGGGAUGCUGCUGCGGCUUGCCCGGCAGGACCCCCAGCUGCACCCCGAGGACCCCGAGCGGCGGGCAGCCAUCUACGACAAGUACAAGGAAUUUGCCAUCCCAGAGGAGGAGGCAGAGUGGGUGGGCCUCACGCUGGAGGAGGCCAUUGAGAAGCAGAGACUUUUGGAGGAGAAGGACCCUGUACCCCUGUUCAAGAUCUAUGUGGCGGAGCUGAUCCAGCAGCUGCAGCAGCAGGCACUGUCAGAGCCGGCGGUGGUGCAGAAGAGAGCCAGUGGCCAGUGACCACACAGCUCCUCCAUGCCUGACCAACAGGCCCAGCCUUCCCUGCCAGGCCCUUUGCACUGAGGACACAGAUCCCGGGGAGCUGUGAGGGCCACCGGUGGGCAGUGGGUGGAUCCUGGUUUCGUGUGCUGCCCAUGCACCUUCCAGCCCGGGGCCAGCUUGGCAGGGAUCCCCAGGAGGCCUGGGCCGCCCAGAGGCUCCUCUCAGGCUGGGCCCCCACGUUUGCGGCAGUGUUCCUUGUGCCUGUGGGGCCGGGAGCGAGUAAAGUCUGGGCCAGGCUG